UAGGGAAUCUUCGGCAAUGGACGGAAGUCUGACCGAGCAACGCCGCGUGAGUGAAGAAGGUUUUCGGAUCGUAAAGCUCUGUUGUAAGAGAAGAACGAGUGUGAGAGUGGAAAGUUCACACUGUGACGGUAUCUUACCAGAAAGGGACGGCUAACUACGUGCCAGCAGCCGCGGUAAUACGUAGGUCCCGAGCGUUGUCCGGAUUUAUUGGGCGUAAAGCGAGCGCAGGCGGUUAGAUAAGUCUGAAGUUAAAGGCUGUGGCUUAACCAUAGUAGGCUUUGGAAACUGUUUAACUUGAGUGCAAGAGGGGAGAGUGGAAUUCCAUGUGUAGCGGUGAAAUGCGUAGAUAUAUGGAGGAACACCGGUGGCGAAAGCGGCUCUCUGGCUUGUAACUGACGCUGAGGCUCGAAAGCGUGGGGAGCAAACAGGAUUAGAUACCCUGGUAGUCCACGCCGUAAACGAUGAGUGCUAGGUGUUAGACCCUUUCCGGGGUUUAGUGCCGCAGCUAACGCAUUAAGCACUCCGCCUGGGGAGUACGACCGCAAGGUUA
rnacentral:rRNA from 1 species